rnacentral:rRNA from 1 species
GUUUACCAAAAACAUGGCUUCGUGUAAUCAUCAAAAUGCGAAGUCGGACCUGCCCAGUGAAGUUUAAACGGCCGCGGUACUCUGACCGUGCAAAGGUAGCAUAAUCAUUUGCCUUAUAAUUGAAGGCUGGAAUGAAUGGUUUGACAAGAAUACACCUGUCUCUUUUAGAUUAUUUAGAAUUUUAUCUUUGGGCGAAAAAGCCCAGAUAUUAUUAAAAGACAAGAAGACCCUAUCGAGCUUCAGAAAAAUUAAUGGAGUAGUUAUGUUUAAUAUUAACUAAAAAAAAAAGCUAUUAAAUACUUUGGUUGGGGCAACCGAGGAGUAGACAAAGCCUCCCUUGAAUAAGAAGUCUUACUUGAGAGGAUCCAAGAAUUUUGAUCAAAGGAAUUAGUUACCGUAGGGAUAACAGCAUUAUCUUUUUUGAGAGCCCAUAUCGAAAAAAAGGUUUGUGACCUCGAUGUUGGACCAGAAUAUCCUAAAGAUGCAGAAGUCUUUGAGGGUUGGUCUGUUCGACCAUUAAAAUUCUACGUGAUCUGAGUUCAGACCGG